UACGGAGGAUCCAAGCGUUAUCCGGAUUUAUUGGGUUUAAAGGGUGCGUAGGCGGCCUAUUAAGUCAGGGGUGAAAGACGGUAGCUUAACUAUCGCAGUGCCCUUGAUACUGAUGGGCUUGAAUAUACUAGAGGUAGGCGGAAUGUGACAAGUAGCGGUGAAAUGCAUAGAUAUGUCACAGAACACCAAUUGCGAAGGCAGCUUACUAUGGUAUUAUUGACGCUGAGGCACGAAAGCGUGGGGAUCAAACAGG
rnacentral:rRNA from 1 species